UGGGGAAUAUUGCACAAUGGGGGAAACCCUGAUGCAGCGACGCCGCGUGAUUUAGAAGGCCUUCGGGUUGUAAAAAUCUUUUGUAUGGGAAGAAAAUGACAGUACCAUACGAAUAAGGACCGGCUAAUUACGUGCCAGCAGCCGCGGUAAUACGUAAGGUCCGAGCGUUGUCCGGAAUCAUUGGGCGUAAAGGGUACGUAGGCGGAUAAGCAAGUUAGAAGUGAAAUCCUAUAGCUCAACUAUAGUAAGCUUUUAAAACUGCUCAUCUUGAGGUAUGGAAGGGAAAGUGGAAUUCCUAGUGUAGCGGUGAAAUGCGCAGAUAUUAGGAGGAAUACCGGUGGCGAAGGCGACUUUCUGGCCAUAUACUGACGCUGAGGUACGAAAGCGUGGGUAGCAAACAGG
rnacentral:rRNA from 1 species